rnacentral:rRNA from 1 species
AGAAUCUUCCGCAAUGGGCGCAAGCCUGACGGAGCGAUGCCGCGUGGGGGACGAAGGCCCUCGGGUCGUAAACCCCUGUCGCCCGGGACGAUCGUGACGGUACCGGGAAAGGAAGCCACGGCUAACCACGUGCCAGCAGCCGCGGUAACACGUGGGCGGCGAGCGUUAUUCGGAUUCACUGGGCGUAAAGGGUCCGCAGGGGGCCCGGCGCGCCCGCCGUGAAAGCCCGCGGCCCAACCGCGGGACUGCGGCGGGUACGGCCGGGCUGGAGCAUGCGAUGGGCGGACGGAACUCCGGGUGUAGCGGUGGAAUGCGUGGAUAUCCGGAAGAACACCGACGGCGAAGGCGGUCCGCCGGCGCAUUGCUGACCCUCAUGGACGAGAGCGUGGGUAGCGAACA